rnacentral:rRNA from 1 species
CCUACGGGAGGCAGCAGUCGAGAAUCAUUCACAAUGGGGGAAACCCUGAUGGUGCGACGCCGCGUGGGGGAAUGAAGGUCUUCGGAUUGUAAACCCCUGUCAUGUGGGAGCAAAUUAAAAAGAUAGUACCACAAGAGGAAGAGACGGCUAACUCUGUGCCAGCAGCCGCGGUAAUACAGAGGUCUCAAGCGUUGUUCGGAAUCACUGGGCGUAAAGCGUGCGUAGGCUGUUUUGUAAGUCGUGUGUGAAAGGCGCGGGCUCAACCCGCGGACGGCACAUGAUACUGCGAGACUAGAGUAAGGGAGGGGGAACCGGAAUUCUCGGUGUAGCAGUGAAAUGCGUAGAUAUCGAGAGGAACACUCGUGGCGAAGGCGGGUUCCUGGACAUUAACUGACGCUGAGGCACGAAGGCCAGGGGAGCGAAAGGGAUUAGAUACCCGGGUAGUC